rnacentral:rRNA from 1 species
CUACCCUUGACAUGUCACGAAUUCGCCAGAGAUGUCAUUGUGCUCGAAAGAGAAUCUGGACACAGGUGCUGCAUGGCUGUCGUCAGCUCGUGUCGUGAGAUGUUGGGUUAAGUCCCGCAACGAGCGCAACCCUUGUCAUUAGUUGCUAUCAUUCAGUUGGGCACUCUAAUGAGACUGCCGGUGACAANCCGGAGGAAGGUGGGGAUGACGUCAAGUCCUCAUGGCCCUUAUGGGUAGGGCUACACACGUGAUACAAUGGCGCGUACAGUGGGUUGCCAACCCGCGAGGGGGAGCUAAUCUCGUAAACCGAGUCGUAGUCCGGAUUGCAGUCUGCAACUCGACUCCGUGAAGUCGGAAUCGCUAGUAAUCGUGGAUCAGAAUGUCACGGUGAAUACGUUCCC